UUUAUAAACCAUUCAUUAUGGGUCAGUAUUAAAAUGUCAUCCUUGCCACACUUUGCACAACAAUACUAAUUCAAUACUCAUGCCAUCCUUAUUACAUUUUGCACAAGAAUGGGACGGCACAAAAUUACAGCUCUGAAUAAAAACAUCAAACAAAGCACAGCUCUUUGAAUCUGCCAAACUACGAAACCCAGCAACAUAAAAUACAUUUUCGUCGGUUUGUAUGAAAACAAAGGGGAGAGGGGUUGGAGGGAAAACAAGAUUAAGUUGUCAAAAUAUCAGGACGUGUGAGGGAAUGACAUCCAAGCACCUUGCCACCAGCAUCUGGGAAAUUCUCAUAUCCAGGUAAGGGGGCUACCUUCCCAUCAAAAUCUACCUGCACAGGAUACAUGAGAAGAUGGCCCUGCAAUAAGGUGAAAUUUGGAUUUGUAUAUCUCUCCCAGUUGGCUUCAGCAAUAUUUUUUAUUUUCUUCACACAUUCCAAACUCUCAGGCUCCAUAAACAAUCCCUGGACCUCACCAAGAUGCUCAGCCCACAGUGACAUUCUAUAUCCAUAUAUCUGCCCACGUGGAUGUUUCUUCUUUGCAGCCCAUGUGUAAUGGGGUUGAUAUGAACCCAUAGCUAUCUCAGUGUCUUUUGAACCCGCCAUGGAUCUCUGGUUAAUAUUGGCAGAUCCAAUAAUGACAUACUCAUCAUCCACAAUCAUUCCCUUCGAAUGGACAUAAACCAUGAACCGCUGAGAUUUGAAAGCAUCAGAGACCGCUUCACCAUUGAUACUGGACAUCAGUUGUGGAUUUUCUUCCCGAUUACCAAGGCAAAAGAAAUUGAGGUAAUC
rnacentral:misc_RNA from 1 species